UCUCCUGGAAACGGGUGGUAAUGCCGGAUGCUCCAUCACACCGCAUGGUGUGUUGGGAAAGCCUUUGCGGCAUGGGAUGGGGUCGCGUCCUAUCAGCUUGAUGGCGGGGUAACGGCCCACCAUGGCUUCGACGGGUAGCCGGCCUGAGAGGGCGACCGGCCACAUUGGGACUGAGAUACGGCCCAGACUCCUACGGGAGGCAGCAGUGGGGAAUAUUGCACAAUGGGCGCAAGCCUGAUGCAGCGACGCCGCGUGAGGGAUGGAGGCCUUCGGGUUGUAAACCUCUUUUGUUAGGGAGCAAGGCACUUUGUGUUGAGUGUACCUUUCGAAUAAGCACCGGCUAACUACGUGCCAGCAGCCGCGGUAAUACGUAGGGUGCAAGCGUUAUCCGGAAUUAUUGGGCGUAAAGGGCUCGUAGGCGGUUCGUCGCGUCCGGUGUGAAAGUCCAUCGCUUAACGGUGGAUCCGCGCCGGGUACGGGCGGGCUUGAGUGCGGUAGGGGAGACUGGAAUUCCCGGUGUAACGGUGGAAUGUGUAGAUAUC
rnacentral:rRNA from 1 species